GAUGAACGCUGGCGGCGUGCCUAAUACAUGCAAGUCGAGCGAACGGACGAGAAGCUUGCUUCUCUGAUGUUAGCGGCGGACGGGUGAGUAACACGUGGAUAACCUACCUAUAAGACUGGGAUAACUUCGGGAAACCGGAGCUAAUACCGGAUAAUAUUUUGAACCGCAUGGUUCAAAAGUGAAAGACGGUCUUGCUGUCACUUAUAGAUGGAUCCGCGCUGCAUUAGCUAGUUGGUAAGGUAACGGCUUACCAAGGCAAGGAUGCAUAGCCGACCUGAGAGGGGGGUCGGCCACACGGGAACGGAGACGCGGUCCAGACUCCUACGGGAGGCAGCAGUAGGGAAUCUUCCGCAAUGGGCGAAAGCCUGACGGAGCAACGCCGCGUGAGUGAUGAAGGUCUUCGGAUCGUAAAACUCUGUUAUUAGUGAAGAACAUAUGUGUAAGUAACUGUGCACAGCUUGACGGUACCGAACCAGAAAGCCACGGCUAACUACGUG
rnacentral:rRNA from 1 species